rnacentral:rRNA from 1 species
UGGGGGAUAUUGCACAAUGGGGGAAACCCUGAUGCAGCGACGCCGCGUGUAGGAAGACGGUCCUCUGGACUGUAAACUACUGUCUUCGGGGACGAUAAUGACGGUACUUCUGAAGGAAGCCCCGGCUAACUACGUGCCAGCAGCCGCGGUAAUACGUAGGGAGCAAGCGUUGUCCGGAAUUACUGGGCGUAAAGAGCACGUAGGCGGUAACCUAAGUCAGAUGUGAAAGACCAGGGCUUAACUCUGGGGUUGCAGACGAAACUGGGUAACUAGAGUGCAGGAGAGGAAAGUGGAAUUCCUAGUGUAGCGGUGAAAUGCGUAGAUAUCGAGAGGAACACUCGUGGCGAAGGCGGGUUCCUGGACAUUAACUGACGCUGAGGUACGAAGGCCAGGGUAGCGAAAG